CCUACGGGGUGCAGCAGUGGGGAAUAUUGGACAAUGGGCGAAAGCCUGAUCCAGCCAUGCCGCGUGUGUGAAGAAGGCCUUCGGGUUGUAAAGCACUUUCAGUGGGGAAGAAAGCCUUGGGGCUAAUACCCUCGAGGAAGGACAUCACCCACAGAAGAAGCACCGGCUAACUCCGUGCCAGCAGCCGCGGUAAUACGGAGGGUGCGAGCGUUAAUCGGAAUUACUGGGCGUAAAGCGCGCGUAGGCGGUCUGAUAAGCCGGUUGGGAAAGCCCCGGGCUCAACCUGGGAACGGCAUCCGGAACUGUCAGGCUAGAGUGCAGGAGAGGAAGGUAGAAUUCCCGGUGUAGCGGUGAAAUGCGUAGAGAUCGGGAGGAAUACCAGUGGCGAAGGCGGCCUUCUGGACUGACACUGACGCUGAGGUGCGAAAGCGUGGGUAGCAAACAGGAUUAGAUACCCCAGUAGUC
rnacentral:rRNA from 1 species